rnacentral:rRNA from 1 species
AAUAGAUACCCUGGUAGUCCACGCCGUAAACGAUGGAUACUAGCUGUUUGAGCGCAAGUUUGAGUGGCUAAGCGAAAGUGAUAAGUAUCCCACCUGGGGAGUACGGGCGCAAGCCUGAAACUCAAAGGAAUUGACGGGGGCCCGCACAAGCGGUGGAGCAUGUGGUUUAAUUCGAUGAUACGCGAGGAACCUUACCAGGGCUUAAAUGUAGAUUGACGUAUUUGGAAACAGAUAUUUCUUCGGACAAUUUACAAGGUGCUGCAUGGUUGUCGUCAGCUCGUGCCGUGAGGUGUCAGGUUAAGUCCUAUAACGAGCGCAACCCCUGUUGUUAGUUGCCAGCGAGUAAUGUCGGGAACUCUAGCAAGACUGCCAGUGUAAACUGUGAGGAAGGUGGGGAUGACGUCAAAUCAUCACGGCCCUUAGUCCUGGGCCACACACGUGCUACAAUGGCCGGUACAGAGAGCAGCCACUUAGCGAUAAGGAGCGAAUCUAUAAAAGCCGGUCACAGUUCGGA